rnacentral:rRNA from 1 species
AGCGCAGACGGUUUAUUAAGUCUGAUGUGAAAGCCCGGAGCUCAACUCCGGAAUGGCAUUGGAAACUGGUUAACUUGAGUGCAGUAGAGGUAAGUGGAACUCCAUGUGUAGCGGUGGAAUGCGUAGAUAUAUGGAAAAACACCAGUGGCGAAGGCGGCUUACUGGACUGCAACUGACGUUGAGGCUCGAAAGUGUGGGUAGCAAACA